ACAAAUACUGGUCCGCUCUCUGGUCUGGUCUAUGGUCUGUUCGCUGUCGUUUUGGACUUCGGCUGAGUCAGUGAAUGAGCCGCCUCGGCCUCCGCCUCCGCCUGCAGUGUGUUACUGUGUGGGCAGGCUUGGAAUUAUCGGGGCCCAGAGCCGCAUUCGACUGCAGGCUUAACCCAAAUACUGGCCACUAACUAGCCAACUGACCGUCGUAGUCAGGCUGCAAAGAAAUGCUGGAUGGAAAAUAAAUCACGCAGCGGAAAAAGUUCUCACACUCGACAUGGCAUCUGGCAUGACCAUCGCUGGCCGUGGGCUAUUUGAUUUUCACAUUGAAUGUGCCGCAAAACAAUUUUCUUGUUUAUCCAUUUAUUCCCCAAGCGGACUGGGAGUAGCGCAAUGCACAAAUAUGGACACUGGAAAACGGGUUACAAUGAUUAGCACG